CACCCAUGUGGCCUUUUGUGAAAUAUAAACACACACACACACACACACACACACACACACACACACACAGACACACACAAGAUAAGGACAGACCUCUGAUACUGUUCAAUACAAAGAGGACAAAACGAAGACCAUACCAGUGCAGUGUACUGGUACACAGAGGCCAGAAAUACAUAUUCUCAUGUAACAACCAAAAGAACACCUUGUGCACUGCACUCAGAGAGAGUACAGUCUAAAAAACA